UUUAGAGGCUAUAUAGCUUAUGCACUCAAGAAGGCACGCAAACGUAGCUGCUCAAGUUGGAUAAGGAAGACCCUUUCUCUCAAGCUUCUUGGUUUAAAUCUUCCAUUUUUCAAACUUCAAUCAAUAAAAGCAUAUUUCAACUUAUUCCCCAGUGUUGAUAGAAUGUCAUAUGUGUUUGUGGUUAUGAUCCAAUUAAGAAUAGCUUUUGCUGAACAAACGUUAGCUGGUUAAAUACUCAAUAUAUACUGCAAUAUUAUGAACUCAUCUACCCCUACUCAAAUUAGUAAAAAAAAUUCCACUACAUAACCCACUCCUGGUGUGUUGGCUCUUGGUGUGUUGGCUCUGAUUCCAUACAGCCAUUGACUCGAACGUUGUUAGUUAGCUUGGACGCACCCACAAAUAUUGGGAGAAGCUGAUUAAAGGAGGAAGGCUGGUUAAUUUGAUGAUAUGACUGCAGAAAGUAUUUGAUUACGCCAGUAAAUUUUUUCAUUGUUGUAGUUGGAUAUUUUCCAUUUUCGGGGUUAGAAAAAAAUAUUAGUCAAUUUAGCUACGUCAAACAUGUUAGGAUAUGAUUUAAGUGGAUUGUCCAUGUGAGCUCUUUUUCUGAACUAAAUACAAAGAAAUCAGGUUGAUUUAUUUUCUAUUAAUUUUGUUUCGUUUGAAUUUGGUUGAUUAGUCUUACACGACGACAAAGUGAAAUAUAGUGAGGAAGCAGAUUGAUGAAAAUAAAUGUCCUUUUCCUCAGUUGUUUACUAAAUAAAAUUAAAAGUUGACAUUUCAGUUUGUGUCUUUACCCAGUAAAAAGUUAGAGAUCGAUAUGGUAUAGCAAUUCUAGAGAAAAAAAUCCAAAGCAAAGUAACUCUAGAGAAAAAAAGUUGACAUUUCAGUUUGUGUCUUUUUUUUUUUGGUCAAAAAAAAAAUUAAAACAUCAUGAUCAAAAAGAAAAUGCCAACACACUCAAAGGAAAUGAGUUAUGGAAUAUAUAUAUUUAGUUUGUUUAGAAACCAUUAUGAUUCUUAUGAUCAUGAAUGUGAGGAAUUUACUUACUGAUUUUUUUUGAGUAAAUAUCUUACUCUCACCAUUUGAAUUGGUCUUGAUCUUCAUUGAUAAAAGUAAGUUUACUUUGCUAAAAUUAUUUUAGUAGAAAACAAUGUUACCUAAAAAACAUAUUCAAAAUUAAUGUUUUAACAAAGAUUAAUCUGACAAUUUGUAUAUGUAUAUUAAAUAUGUAAAUCUACAUUAAACACCAAAGUAAUGACCACCUAAAUUAUACUAAUGGUUGACUCAAUAACGAGUUGCCUAAAGAUAGAUCUAAUGGUUGACCACCUAAAUUAUGGAAGAAGCCGACCGGAGAAAACAUAGACGGUUCUGCUUACACGGUGAAAUCAUGAACCUAUUGAGACAAUGAAAAAGACGACGACCGAUUAGGAUUUCUCUUCUUCUCAAGCCAAACUCUUGAUUUCAUCAUGGCGGGGAAACCAUGAACCGAUUGAGCCAAUGAAAAAGACAAUGACAGACUGUGUUUGUAAGGCAGAAAUAUGAUUGACCUCGUGAAGCUGUGAGAUUUGGUGAGGUCUCCAUCUCUAUUUAUAGUCUCAAGAAUUAGGGAUUUGAGAAAGAGUUGAGAAAAGGGUCAUUAAAGUCGACUUAGUGGCAGAGUUGAACGGAAGUAGGUAAUGGAGAUACACUAUGAAGUGGAUUCAAUGAGGAACAAAAGCGUUAUACAUAGGUUAGGCAACCAAUCGUGAAAGAUAAGGCACGGAGAAGAAAACGAUGCUAGAAGAGGGAGAAGGUGUUAGUGGGUU
rnacentral:lncRNA from 1 species